UACGGAGGGGGCUAGCGUUGUUCGGAAUUACUGGGCGUAAAGCGCGCGUAGGCGGCUUUGUAAGUCAGAGGUGAAAGCCCGGAGCUCAACUUCGGAAUAGCCUUUGAGACUGCAUCGCUUGAAUCCGGGAGAGGUGAGUGGAAUUCCGAGUGUAGAGGUGAAAUUCGUAGAUAUUCGGAAGAACACCAGUGGCGAAGGCGGCUCACUGGACCGGUAUUGACGCUGAGGUGCGAAAGCGUGGGGAGCAAACAGG
rnacentral:rRNA from 1 species